AUGAACGCUGGCGGCAUGCCUAAUACAUGCAAGUCGAACGAGAGGAAGGAAAGCUUGCUUUCCUAAAUCUAGUGGCGAACGGGUGAGUAACACGUAGGUAACCUGCCCAUGUGCCCGGGAUAACUUCUGGAAACGGAUGCUAAAACCGGAUAGGUAGCAGACAAGCAUUUGACUGCUAUUAAAGUGGCUAAGGCCAUGAACAUGGAUGGACCUGCGGUGCAUUAGCUAGUUGGUGAGGUAACGGCCCACCAAGGCGACGAUGCAUAGCCGGCCUGAGAGGGCGGACGGCCACAUUGGGACUGAGACACGGCCCAAACUCCUACGGGAGGCAGCAGUAGGGAAUUUUCGUCAAUGGGGGGAACCCUGAACGAGCAAUGCCGCGUGAGUGAGGAAGGUCUUCGGAUCGUAAAGCUCUGUUGUAAGAGAAAAACGGCACUCAUAGGGAAUGAUGAGUGAGUGAUGGUAUCUUACCAGAAAGUCACGGCUAACUACGUGCCAGCAGCCGCGGUAAUACGUAGGUGGCGAGCGUUAUCCGGAAUGAUUGGGCGUAAAGGGUGCGUAGGUGGCAGAUCAAGUCUGGAGUAAAAGGUAUGGGCUCAACCCGUACUUGCUCUGGAAACUGAUCAGCUAGAGAACAGAAGAGGGCGGCGGAACUCCAUGUGUAGCGGUAAAAUGCGUAGAUAUAUGGAAGAACACCGGUGGCGAAGGCGGCCGUCUGGUCUGGAUUCUGACACUGAAGCACGAAAGCGUGGGGAGCAAAUAGGAUUAGAUACCCUAGUAGUCCACGCCGUAAACGAUGAGAACUAGGUGUUGGGGGAAUAACUCAGUGCCGCAGUUAACGCAAUAAGUUCUCCGCCUGGGGAGUAUGCACGCAAGUGUGAAACUCAAAGGAAUUGACGGGGGCCCGCACAAGCGGUGGAGUAUGUGGUUUAAUUCGAAGCAACGCGAAAAACCUUACCAAGUCUUGACAUCCUGAUGACGGUUCCUUAACCGGAACUUCUCUUCGGAGCAUCAGAGACAGGUGGUGCAUGGUUGUCGUCAGCUCGUGUCGUGAGAUGUUGGGUUAAGUCCCGCAACGAGCGCAACCCUUGUGAUAUGUUACUAACAUUGAGUUGAGGACUCAUAUCAGACUGCCGGUGAUAAACCGGAGGAAGGUGGGGAUGACGUCAAAUCAUCAUGCCCCUUAUGGCCUGGGCUACACACGUACUACAAUGGCGUCUACAAAGAGCGGCAAGCCUGUGAAGGCAAGCGAAUCUCAUAAAGGACGUCUCAGUUCGGAUUGAAGUCUGCAACCCGACUUCAUGAAGCUGGAAUCGCUAGUAAUCGCGAAUCAGCAUGUCGCGGUGAAUACGUUCUCGGGCCUUGUACACACCGCCCGUCAAACCAUGGGAGUUGGUAAUGCCCGAAGCCGGUGGCAUAACCCUUCGGGGAGUGAGCCGUCGAAGGCAGGACCGAUGACUGGGGUU
rnacentral:rRNA from 1 species